rnacentral:rRNA from 1 species
UGAAUACGAGACGCUAAGGCGUCGAAGUAGUGUAUGUCAUACUUCCAAGAAAAGCUUGCACUGUCAUAGAUAAAAAACGCCUGUACCAUAACCGACACAGGUGGGUAGGUAGAGUAUACUAAGGGGCGCGAGAUAACUCUCUCUAAGGAACUCGGCAAAAUAACUCCGUAACUUCGGGAGAAGGAGUGCCUUAUUAUUAAGGCUGCAAUAACAAGAUCCAAGCAACUGUUUAUCAAAAACACAGGUCUCCGCUAAGUCGUAAGACGAUGUAUGGGGGCUGACGCCUGCCCAGUGCCAGAAGGUUAAAGAAGUUGGUUAGCAUUUGCGAAGCUGAUAACUGAAGCCCUGGUGAACGGCGGCCGUAACGAUAACGGUCCUAAGGUAGCGAAAUUCCUUGUCGGGUAAGUUCCGACCCGCACGAAAGGCGUAAUGAUUUGGAUACUGUCUCGGAGAGGGGCUCGGUGAAAUAGACUUGUCUGUGAAGAUGCGGACUACCUGCACCAGGACAGAAAGACCCUAUGAAGCUUUACUGUAACUUGAAAUUGAAAUUGGACUUUAUUCGCGCAGCAUAGGUGGGAGGCGUUGAUUAUAAUCUUGUGGGAUUAUUGGAGCCAUCAGUGAGAUACCACUCUUGUAAUGUUAGAUUUCUAACUUUGAAUCAUUAUCUGGUCAAAGAACAGUUUCAGGCGGGCAGUUUGACUGGGGCGGUCGCCUCCUAAACGGUAACGGAGGCGUACAAAGGUUUCCUCUGAACGGUUAGAAAUCGUAUCUAGAGUGUAAAGGCAUAAGGAAGCUUGACUGUGAGACCUACAAGUCGAGCAGGGACGAAAGUCGGUCUUAGUGAUCUGACGGUACUGAGUGGAAAGGCCGUCACUCAACGGAUAAAAGUUACUCUAGGAUAACAGGCUGAUCUCCCCCAAGAGUUCACAUCGACGGGGAGGUUUGGCACCCCGAUGUCGGCUCAUCGCAUCCUGGGGCGGUAGUACGUCCCAAGGGUUGGGCUGUUCGCCCAUGAAAGCGGUACGCGAGCUGGGUUCAGAACGUCGUGAGACAGUUCGGUCCAUAUCCGGUGUAGGCGUUAGAAUAUUGAGAGGAGCCUUCUUUAGUACGAGAGGACCGAGAAGGACAUACCUCUGGUGUACCAGUUAUCGUGCCAACGGUAAACGCUGGGUAGCUAUGUAUGGAGUGGAUAACCGCUGAAAGCAUCUAAGUGGGAAGCCCACCUCAAGAUAAGUAUUCUU